GUUCUUGUAGUUAAAAUUUAUAACAACGGCUUUUCAGGCCGUAGAUCUCGGAGAAAGGCCGAGUGAGAAUU
rnacentral:tRNA from 1 species